rnacentral:rRNA from 1 species
UACGUAGGGGGCAAGCGUUGUCCGGAUUUAUUGGGCGUAAAGAGCGUGUAGGCGGCCAGGUAGGUCGGUUGUGAAAACUGGAGGCUCAACCUUCAGAGGUCGACCGAAACCAUCUGGCUAGAGUCCGGGAGAGGAGAGUGGAAUUCCUGGUGUAGCGGUGAAAUGCGCAGAUAUCAGGAAGAACACCCGUGGCGAAGGCGGCUCUCUGGAACGGUACUGACGCUGAGACGCGAAAGCGUGGGGAGCGAACAGG